rnacentral:lncRNA from 1 species
AAAUUAGCCCACUUUCAUGUCUCUGACAAAAGUAAGGUUAAAAAUUCGACAGUUUCUGGUUCUUCUUUAACCAAGGAAAAAGAAGUUUCUGGUUCUCCCUCAACCAAGGAGAAUAAAGCUUCUACUUCCGAGAGUAUCCGUACUCUUUCUGAUAGCUCUCUCCUUAAACUUUCCGAUCGAUAUCCCAAUAGAAGAAACUAUUAUAAACGUCCCCCUUUUCCUGAUACUCAGUAUGAGGAAGACGGUUUUCAGUCUCAAUCAUCCCAUGAUGGUAGAG